GAAAAGAUAGCAUAAUAAAUGCAUUUGCCUUGAAAGCUUUUUAUAAGAAGAAAAAUUCUUUCUUUUCG
rnacentral:tRNA from 1 species